rnacentral:rRNA from 1 species
GGAUGCGAUCAUACCAGCACUAAUGCACCGGAUCCAUCAGAACUCCGAAGUUAAGCGUGCUUGGGCGAGAGUAGUACUAGGAUGGGUGACCCCCUGGGAAGUCCUCGUGUUGCCCCCC